ensembl:misc_RNA Y_RNA Y RNA
AGCUGGUCCAAGUGCAGUGGUGUUUACAACUAAUUGAUCACAGUCAGUUGCAGAUUCCUUUGUUCCUUCUCCACUCCCACUGCUUCACUUGACUAGCCUAAA